CCUACGGGUGGCUGCAGUGGGGAAUAUUGCACAAUGGGCGCAAGCCUGAUGCAGCCAUGCCGCGUGUGUGAAGAAGGCCUUCGGGUUGUAAAGCACUUUCAGCGGGGAGGAAGGCGGUGAGGUUAAUAACCUCAUCGAUUGACGUUACCCGCAGAAGAAGCACCGGCUAACUCCGUGCCAGCAGCCGCGGUAAUACGGAGGGUGCAAGCGUUAAUCGGAAUUACUGGGCGUAAAGCGCACGCAGGCGGUCUGUCAAGUCGGAUGUGAAAUACCCGGGCUCAACCUGGGAACUGCAUUCGAAACUGGCAGGCUAGAGUCUUGUAGAGGGGGGUAGAAUUCCAGGUGUAGCGGUGAAAUGCGUAGAGAUCUGGAGGAAUACCGGUGGCGAAGGCGGCCCCCUGGACAAAGACUGACGCUCAGGUGCGAAAGCGUGGGGAGCAGACAGGAUUAGAUACCCUGGUAGUC
rnacentral:rRNA from 1 species